CCCUUUGAUACUGGAAGUCUUGAAUUUAGUUGAGGUAGGCGGAAUGUGUUGUGUAGCGGUGAAAUGCAUAGAUAUAACACAGAACACCGAUUGCGAAGGCAGCUUACUAAGCUAUAAUUGACGCUGAUGCACGAAAGCGUGGGUAGCGAACAGGAUUAGAUACCCCGGUAGUCCACGCCGUAAACGAUGAUCACUCGUUGUUGGCAAUAGACCGUCAGCGACCGAGCGAAAGCAUUAAGUGAUCCACCUGGGGAGUACGUUGGCAACAAUGAAACUCAAAGGAAUUGACGGGGGCCCGCACAAGCGGAGGAACAUGUGGUUUAAUUCGAUGAUACGCGAGGAACCUUACCUGGACUUAAAUGUAGGCUGCAUAGAGUAGAGAUAUUCUUUUCUUCGGACCGCCUACAAGGUGCUGCAUGGUUGUCGUCAGCUCGUGCCGUGAGGUGUCGGGUUAAGUCCCAUAACGAGCGCAACCCCUAUCGUUAGUUACCAUCACGUAAAGGUGGGGACUCUAACGAGACUGCCGGUGUAAACCGCGAGGAAGGUGGGGAUGACGUCAAAUCAGCACGGCCCUUACGUCCAGGGCUACACACGUGUUACAAUGGCCGGUACAAAGGGCAGCUACUUGGUGACAAGAUGCCAAUCCCUAAAGCUGGUCUCAGUUCGGAUCGGAGUCUGCAACUCGACUCCGUGAAGCUGGAUUCGCUAGUAAUCGCGCAUCAGCCAUGGCGCGGUGAAUACGUUCCCGGGCCUUGUACACACCGCCCGUCAAACCAUGGAAGCCGGGGGUACCUGAAGUCUGUUACCGCAAGGAGCGGCCUAGGGUAAAACUGGUAACUAGGGUUAAGUCGUAACAAGGUACCCG
rnacentral:rRNA from 1 species